CUCUCUCUCUCUCUAUCUCUCUUGCCCAAGCUUCGUAGCGCCUUGAACAAGACAUAGUCGAGGUCCGAAAGAAUCGUCAGAGAGAAUAAGCUUUCGGGAAGAGAGUGGCGCCAGAUUCUUGAGAGUGGUUCCCUUUCCUUCGUCACGAACCAUGACUCAAUAUUUGAGGUCGAGGCCUCAAGCUUCCAGCAAGUGAUGAUGUUUCUACUUCCAUGGCCAUCUAGCUGAGUGUUUUCAGAGCUUGCAUGGAAAGGCAGCUUCAUAAUAAAUAUAUUUUGUGCACAAACAGUAAAGGGUAGAAGAAACUGUUUCAUAUAUUUUUCCCUUCUUAAAGGUAACGAGUGUUGGAAUCAAUACUGAAUGGGGAUUGUUGAUGGCAAGUAUAUCUCUGAGGAUACCUAUAAAGAAACUCUUCUGCAGAUUUGUGUUCUUUCCAAUUUCUGACCUGAAACUGUUGAGGAUGCUAGCUAAUGAAGGUCCUGCAGUGUUGUGUUCCUUGCAAUCUCUGACCUGAAACUAUUGAGGAAGCUAGCAAAUGAAGGCGUUACAGUGUUGGGGUUGCCUUGACUAGUCUUUGUUUUUUUUUUUUUUUGGAUUUGUGAUUUUUGGUUGGUGUAAGAAUGAUAGAUAUUGUAUUUUGAUAUUUGUCAAUUUAUAAUAUUUGUGGAACAUGGUACUUGCU